AGAAGCAAAGGGAAGCAGCCAGAAAGGGCUCUGGGUGGGCUGUCCAGGCACCUGGGAGGACAUGCACCGAGGGGACCCUGCCGUUUCCUGUAUGACAGAUGGCUGGUGAUCGGCGCAGAGCAGCUGGUUAGGGAAGGGAGCAGGUGGUUUGAAAAGCUGCCUGUUAUUUAAGCUUGAGAUCCUCUUGCAAGGAGUCCCGAUCCCCUGGUUAGGAAGGAAGAAAAGAAAGCCUAACGGAUAUAUCUGACAGUGAACACGAACGCCCUGGGAACAGAGAGCCCAUGAGGUCACAGAAAGGGGAAGGGUGUGACCAACGGGCAGCCGAGGGGCCCUAGCUGGCGGCGUGCGUGACCGCCGGCAACCAGAGGCGGGGCCGAGGCAACAGCCGGGGCGCUGUCCGCAGUGGGGAUGGCGACGCGGACCACGGCUGCCCCUCUGCCCACCUCAGUGGGCCUGUGCAUCUGGGCUGCCUCGCCUGCAGGUUUCCGCUCAGUUCAGGGGAGGCGGGUGCGGGAGGGAGCAGAGCCCGUCAGACCCCACAGGGACACGUUACAGGCACGUUGCCACUGAUGCCCUCAAAAUACGCCUUCCUUCAAGCACACUCAUCCCAUCACCUUGCCCCUGUCUGGAGCAGCUCUGGAGCCCUCCUUUGCAAGUCUCUGCGGCUGCCUCCUGUUUUGAAUCAAUGGAAAACACAGCAGUUUCUGUCGAGUAUAAAUGUUGCAGUGAGUCCUCGUCACCUUGUUCACCGGAUCUGGCACCACGUGACUCUCAGUCCUCCCCAGAGCCAAAAUGAUCACGAAAGGGAAACGUUUUAAAUCGACUCAGGCCAUCCAGGCAGCCAGGACAGCACAACUACGGGCAAUUACAGACGAGGCCUCCAGAGCUGCUGCAGACAGUGCCAAGUGAGACGCCUGCUGCUACCACACACGCCUGCACCAUCAACAUACAAAGAGAAACGGCUUACUGCACCUCAGUCUCAAAGGCUGUGUUCAGGACUGGGUGGCCCUGCAGCCAUGGGGCCCGGGACAAGGCACCAGGACAUCAAAACUGCUCACCUCACAGUGGCCAGGAAGCAACGGAGAGGAGACGGCCAGCGUCUCACGGUCCCUUUCAGGAGCGCCCCUUGAUCAACACAAGCUCUCCAGGCACCACCUCAAAGGUUUUAGCACUUGCAGCAGUGCCACACUGAGUCCAUCCUCUAAUCUCGGGUCUCAGGGGACAUUCCAGAUCCAAACUGUCCAUCUGCCACCUGCUCCUGCAGGGACCCUUGCCAGCCAGGCCUGGCCUCACCGAGAGCUCUGCUCCUGGCCCCUGAGGGCUCCAUGGCCUCAGCAGGGACCAGGCUGCUCCUGCCCCCGAGGCUCAGCUGCCUGUCCUCACUUGCAAGCUCAGGACAGUGUGCUGAAGGCCCCGGUGUCACUCCUGAGCUGGGCCCCCACUCACUGGGCAUCUACUGAAGAAAACUCAGCCCCUCCCACAUCAACCUCCUGAGGAAGGCGACUUCCACGCAGAUGCCGCCAACGGCAGUGCUUGCCUGCGGUGUCUCUGUGUGGAGGCCUUGGCUACCUCUUCCAACAGCUCUGAGGGCAGGCGGCACGGAUUCCAUGCUUGCUGAGGGUGACAUGCUAGGACUGGAAUGCGCCCACCUGCCUCCUGACCCUGACCUCUGCUGCUCUACUCUGUCCAGAUGAUUCAGAGGAGCGAAAUGUCCGGCACCUCCAGGGAAAUUUGCCUUUUUUUUCUUUUUAUAAAAUUCAGGAAAUGACUAUUGAUUCACAAACUGUCUCUCUAAUGGCUGUUUCUAGACACCUUGGUGGGGAGGGACGUGCUUUUUUGGAGCAAGUCUGUCUGGUACCUCUUGGCCAACCUCGGGGGCCUAGGUGGGCCCCCCACCGCCCCAGCCUUCCACGUCUGUCCUGAUGCACGAGAGCAGAGGGCAGAGGGAUGGCGCCACACAGUGCCCCGAGGCGGGAGGGUCAUUCUGGUCCUUUCCCCAGGGCAGGACGCCAGCGUCUGAGUGGGCAGUGCGGGUGUGUAGGGUGAGACUCAGGGCAGCACCCUGCUUCUUCCAAACAGAAAAGGGAGGAGAAUAAAGGCCUUGCCCGCCGCAGAGUGCUGUCCAGCUUCAGGAGAUCGGUUCUAAGCAGAAACUUUUGUUCAGCUUGAUUCUCCUGGUUUCCAUGGGGAUUUUUGGGUGGUAACAAAGCCCCAUGUGUCUGGAGUGAAGAAAACCACAAGCAUGAUUUGCACACAUGCAAUGUAGAUGUCUACUCAGCUGGAACCGGAAAUAAACACAAUGUGAGUAUGAAAAGCAAAAAGCAGGGGGCACUGAGAAGAUACUGAACUGGAAGCAGUGACACGCCUUGGCGUGAGCCAGCUUGUCCAGAGGCGAG